rnacentral:tRNA from 2 species
AGCUCAGUUGGUAGAGUCCAGGAUUGUGAUUCCUGUUGUCGUGGGUUCGAGCCCCAUC